GUGGGGAAUAUUGGACAAUGGGCGAAAGCCUGAUCCAGCCAUGCCGCGUGUGUGAAGAAGGUCUUCGGAUUGUAAAGCACUUUAAGUUGGGAGGAAGGGCAGUAAGUUAAUACCUUGCUGUUUUGACGUUACCGACAGAAUAAGCACCGGCUAACUUCGUGCCAGCAGCCGCGGUAAUACGAAGGGUGCAAGCGUUAAUCGGAAUUACUGGGCGUAAAGCGCGCGUAGGUGGUUUUGUAAGUUGGAGGUGAAAUCCCCGGGCUCAACCUGGGAACUGCCUCCAAAACUGCAUGACUAGAGUACGGUAGAGGGUAGUGGAAUUUCCUGUGUAGCGGUGAAAUGCGUAGAUAUAGGAAGGAACACCAGUGGCGAAGGCGACUACCUGGACUGAUACUGACACUGAGGUGCGAAAGCGUGGGGAGCAAACAGGAUUAGAUACCCUUGUAGUCCC
rnacentral:rRNA from 1 species